rnacentral:lncRNA from 1 species
UCAGCUGGUCCCUCUUCUCAGGUGUAGAUCACCUAUUAUAAUUUUACCUAAUUUUGAUACUCUGAUAAGGAAAGUCCCAGGACUUAUCAGCUGGGAUAGGCCUCACUUACAAGACAGCUCUGUUCAGUAUUUGGAAGAAAGCCUGACAGGUUUCUUCGGAAAAGUGGCCAUCCAUGGAAUGAAUGAAAUGUUCUCUUUCUAUUCCAGGGAUUGCAGUGGCAAAGCUAGGCUAGGUCUUGGAGGCUGGUGUAAGGCGAUGUGGGUGAAGGCAGGAGGCUGAUGGAAAGACUGGGGGGAAGAAAAGCCGAAAUGGAUUCACGGUGCCUUGGAUGAAGGACGAGAGGGGAACUGCAAGCUCCUUCAACUGGUUCUGUCCGGUGAGAAGUGAUCAAGCUUGGGCUGACAAGAGGCUCAGGGAGCCCUCACGUUCUUUCGCUUUUUUACCUGCCAAUCAAACUGCUACAAGACAACACCCUGAUCUGGCAUGGACAUGUCCGUGUUUACCUUAAUAUUACACCUGGAUUAAACAGAAAACAGUGCUGUAUUUUGAAGAGCGCCGAAUAUGUAUGCAUUUUGAGAAACCCAAUCUCACCCUUUCCGGGUUCCCAAGAACUAAAACAAGCCAUAACUUGAGAGAAAAAGGAGAACCUUCGGGGGGCAGGAAGGUUGAUUGGAAAUAACUUAAGGAAAGUCUGCAGAAUUCUUUUUUUUACAACUUUUCUGAGUUUCCAGUGGGUAUAUUUAGUGUGAGUUUGACAGUAACAGGCUAGGGAGGGCAGAGAUUGGAGAAAUUGGGGGUCGGGGGAGUGAUUAUGGGAAGAAGGUUAGUAAGGAACAAAACAAUGCACCGUUUUGUAAAGAUAAUAAAUGGAACGUGGCUGGUAGAUACUAUUCAGUACAUUUUCUUAGGGUGAGUAAGGGUAGACCAGGGGAGGAGGGGGCGGAGAGAGUGUUACAGAAGAAAGAAAAUAAGUAACCC